CACAAGCUAGAUAGAUAAUAAUCAUAUCCAUGGUCGUCGAUCGAUGUGAUCAGCAGUUGCAGGGGUCGCACUUGCAGUUGCCACCGCAGCUGCAGCCGUGGGCGGCCUCGCCGGACUCCGCCGCGGCCUCGACGAACUCGGGCGCGGCCUUCUUCUCCGGGGCCACGCCGAGGACGACGGUGGCCUGCGCGGCGGUGCUCGUCUCCUCCAGGUCAGGGUACUUCUUGCUGAAAAGGACAGCGCGCAAAUGGAUUGAACUACUCGAUCCAAAUUAACUUUGUUCUUGUCUGUUUGUUUGUUUGUUUUGCAAUGGAAAAAAUAAAUAAAUGGAAAUUAACUAGACAAGAAGAAGGCUGGAGAAAUUAAUCAUGCACGGUGCACUUAUAUAUUAUCAUAUAUAUUACCCGCACUUGCAGCUUGAGCCGCAGCCGCAGCUUGAUCCGCAGUUGCAAGACAUCCUCGACCUUGUGGUGCAAAAGAAGCUCGAUCUCUUCAAGAAUCAAUGAAACAAGUCGUCUUAUUUGCUUGGCUGAGCUUGAGCACCAUGGACACCUCUUUUUAUAGCAAGUGAGGAUGGAUCAUCGAUGGAGGCAUGAUGUAUGGGCAACGCGCCGUGGCACCACGCCAUAGGCUCUUGCUUGCAAGAACCGGUCCAAUGCCCCACUUGUCUCCUGAUCGAAGAAUUAUUCUUGCCUGGAAUAUUACGUCCAUUUCGAUUUAGUAAUCCAGUUCGUCCUAGCUUUAUUCUUUAUUUAUAAGUAAUACUUUGCCUGUCCUUAUUAAAUAUAAAAGACCCGGUUAACUUGUAGCUAGCUAUGCUAUUAACAACCCCAUACGACCUCUAGCCAAGCAUGCAUGCAUUAGACUGAAUGCUAGUUUGAGAGCCAUAAAAUCGGAAGGGUUGGAGGAGUUAAAAUACAAAUACACUACUUAUUUAAAAUUAAAUAAGGAGAGGAUUUUAGCCUCUUUAAUCUCCUAUA
rnacentral:lncRNA from 1 species